CUACGGGACGCACCAGUGAGGAAUAUUGCGCAAUGGGGGAAGCCCUGACGCAGCGACGCCGCGUGGAUGAUGAAGGCCUUCGGGUCGUAAAAUCCUGUCAGAAGGAAAGAAGUGUAUGGUAGCUAAUAUCUGCCAUACUUGACGGUACCUUCAAAGGAAGCACCGGCUAACUCCGUGCCAGCAGCCGCGGUAAUACGGAGGGUGCAAGCGUUGUUCGGAAUUACUGGGCGUAAAGCGCGCGUAGGCGGUUUUAUAAGUCAGAGGUGAAAGUCCACGGCUCAACCAUGGAAGUGCAUUUGAAACUGUAAGACUUGAGUAUUGGAGGGGGUAGUGGAAUUCCCGGUGUAGAGGUGAAAUUCGUAGAUAUCGGGAGGAAUACCGGUGGCGAAGGCGACUAUCUGGCCAAAUACUGACGCUGAGGUGCGAAAGCGUGGGGAGCAAACAGGAUUAGAUACCCCCGUAGUC
rnacentral:rRNA from 1 species